ACCAUAGCACUAACACAGGGGUCGGGAACCUAUGGCUCGCGAGCCAGAUGUGGCUCUUUUGAUGAUUGCAUAUGGCUCGCAGAUAAAACAAAAUAUU